GUGGGGAAUAUUGCGCAAUGGCCGAAAGGCUGACGCAGCGACGCCGCGUGGGGGAUGAAGCAUUUCGGUGUGUAAACCCCUGUUGCCCGGGACGAACAACUGGUUUCGACCAGUCUGACGGUACCGGGUGAGGAAGCACCGGCUAACUCCGUGCCAGCAGCCGCGGUAAUACGGAGGGUGCGAGCGUUGUCCGGAAUCACUGGGCGUAAAGGGUGAGUAGGCGGUCUGCUAAGCGUGUGGUGAAAGCCCGGGGCUCAACCCCGGGUCGGCCAUGCGAACUGGUGGACUCGAGCACUGUAGAGGCAGGUGGAAUUCCGGGUGUAGCGGUGGAAUGCGUAGAGAUCCGGAAGAACACCGGUGGCGAAGGCGGCCUGCUGGGCAGUUGCUGACGCUGAAUCACGACAGCGUGGGGAGCAAACAGGAUUAGAUACCCUUGUAGUCC
rnacentral:rRNA from 1 species